rnacentral:rRNA from 1 species
UACGGAGGGGGCAAGCGUUAUUCGGAAUUAUUGGGCGUAAAGGGCGCGUAGGCGGCUAGAUGUGUCAUAGGUGAAAUCCCUCGGCUCAACUGAGGAACUGCCUUUGAAACUGUCUGGCUUGAGGCCGGGAGAGGGUAGCGGAAUUCCCAGUGUAGCGGUGAAAUGCGUAGAUAUUGGGAGGAACACCAGUGGCGAAGGCGGCUACCUGGACCGGUUCUGACGCUGAGGCGCGAAAGCGUGGGUAGCAAACAGG